rnacentral:pre_miRNA from 1 species
AGGAGGAACAGCCCCAGUGGCGGGGCCUGCUCUGGAAACCUGGAUUCAGCCCUCGCAGUAACUCCGGAGCUCUCCGUCUGCAGGGCCUGGAAGCUGGGGCGGG